UGGCGGCGUGCCUAACACAUGCAAGUCGAACGAGAAAGUGGAGCAAUCCACGAGUACAGUGGCGUACGGGUGAGUAACACGUGACUAACCUACCCUCGAGUGGGGAAUAACUUCGGGAAACCGAGGCUAAUACCGCAUAAUGUCUGACCAAAUGCGCAAGCAGCUUGAGGAGGGGGUCGCGGCUGAUUAGCUCGUUGGCGGGGUAACGGCCCACCAAGGCAAUGAUCAGUAGCCGGCCUGAGAGGGCGCACGGCCACACUGGAACUGAAACACGGUCCAGACUCCUACGGGAGGCAGCAGUGGGGAAUUUUGCGCAAUGGGGGAAACCCUGACGCAGCAACGCCCCGUGGAGGAUGAAGCCCCUUGGGGUGUAAACUCCUUUCGAUCGGGACGAUUAUGACGGUACCGGAUGAAGAAGCACCGGCUAACUCUGUGCCAGCAGCCGCGGUAAUACAGAGGGUGCAAGCGUUGUUCGGAAUUAUUGGGCGUAAAGGGUGCGUAGGCGGUGCGGUAAGUCUUCUGUGAAACCUCCGGGCUUAACUCGGAGCCUGCAGGGGAAACUGCCGUGCUGGAGUAUGGGAGAAGGUGAGUGGAAUUCCCGGUGUAGCGGUGAAAUGCGUAGAUGUCGGGAGGAACACCUGUGGCGAAAGCGGCUCACUGGACCACAACUGACGCUGAGGCGCGAAAGCUAGGGGAGCAAACAGGAUUAGAUACCCUGGUAGUCCUAGCCUAACGAUGAUUGCUUGGUGUGUCGGGUACCCAAUCCCGACGUGCCGCAGCUAACGCGAU
rnacentral:rRNA from 1 species